rnacentral:misc_RNA from 1 species
AAUAGUCAAAGAAAUUUAUAUUAUUAAAUCAUAAUUUUUUUGUUACCUGAUGCCUUAAAGAAGAAAAACAUAUUGCUAGAAGUGAAAACCAUCAAGUGAUUUUACUUGUUUCAUCUACCUAUUUUUCAAUAUGCUAAAACCAAAAUGAAUAUUGAUACUAAACAAACCCAUAGUAAUGCAUUCUUUUUCCAUUAAUAUAAACACUUACCACUUAUAUUUUUUACUAGAUCAUGAAUUAAAACUAAUUUCAAAAGUACUUUGUUGAAUAUGGACCCAAAUCCCAAAUUUCAUUUGUUAUGCUAUUCUUUCUUAAUUGUUGUGUGAAUUUCUAUUAUUAUUACUUAGAUCUGCUGAUUCACAUUUAUAGUUCGUGAUAUGCUGCAUAUCUUGCCAGCUGCCACGACUCCCUGUCUGGACCUAGAUGUCUUUCAUUUUCAACUCAUGAAUCUUAUUUGAAAACAAAUUCAAUUCAU